rnacentral:rRNA from 1 species
GGAGGCUACACAUGCAGGUUAAGCGCGCCUUCGGGUGAGCCGCGGACGUUUUAGUAACGCGUGGGAACGUGCCCUUCUCUACGGAAUAGCCUCUGGAAACGGAGAGUAAUACCGUAUACGCCCUUUGGGGGAAAGAUUUAUCGGAGAAGGAUCGGCCCGCGUUAGACUAGGUAGUUGGUGGGGUAACGGGCUACCAAGCCUACGAUCUAUAGCUGGUUUUAGAGGAUUGAUCAGCAACACUGGGACUGAGACACGGACCAGACUCCUACGGGAGGCAGCAGUGGGGAAUCUUAGACAAUGGGGGCAACCCUGAUCUAGCCAUGCCCGCGUGAGUGAUGAAGGCCUUAGGGUCGUAAAGCUCUUUCGCCUGUGAUGAUAAUGACAGUAGCAGGUAAAGAAAGCCCGGCUAACUCCGUGCCAGCAGCCGCGGUAAUACGGAGGGGGUUAGCGUAGUUCGGAAUUACUGGGCGUAAAGCGCGCGUAGGCGGAUUAGAAA